GUCCAAUGCUAUCUGCAGGUGGUCAACCUGUUCGUUUGCUCAUUGGUGAUGCCGCAUCAACAACAACCAUAUUUCUUUCCAGGAUCCUAGGGCCUCUUUCUGUGCCAUUUAUCAGCUACUUGUCAAGCUGUCCCUGUCUAAGUGACAAGAUUAAGUUUCCGAACGUUUUCAGAACAAUCCCCAGUGAUAUUUACCAAGCCCGGGCCAUGGCACAGCUGGCCUUACGAUUUCGCUGGACUUGGAUGGGAGCGGUGGUUGUCAACAAUGACUAUGGUCUUUUGGCAAUACAGGCAUUUCAAGAAGAGACUCAGGG